rfam:Helianthus annuus linkage group 9, whole genome shotgun sequence.
AGCCAUGCAAUGAGCACAAAGCGAACUAUUCUUUCGCCUUUUACUAAAGAAUACCGUGUGCUCGUUGUUUACAAAUGGCAUACGCCAAUUUUUGGAGAGCUCUUUCUUAUUGAAAGACU